CCUUCGCCUUUAGCUGCAAUACUUAAGCAAGCAGCUUAGACAGAGGGACGAGUUGCUCAUUUCUGAGUUUCUCCCAUGUAUACAUGUUAUUAAACUUGGUAUUAUUUUCUCCUGCCAACCUGUCUUGUUGAUUAUUUGGCCAGCCAGAAGAACCUUAAGGGAAAGGGCAGAGGGAGAUUCUCCCUCUUCCCCCGACAGUUUUGGCGUAGUCGGCAGGAGCCACACUGGCUGGCAAGUUGCCUUCUCUGGCUGGAAGACCUGCCUUCUCCCUGGACUACUGCAGAUGAUGAGAUACGGGAACGCCUGACAAAAGCCGGCAAAAAGGUAAGACUUCUUACCAUGUCAGCCUCCUGGAAUCUCUAUCUGCGGAGUCCGGCGGAAGGAAAUGGACACAAUUGGAAACACUGGUUAUAUUACCAAGGCUGUGACUGGAACAUCAUAUUUGCGAUAUAACCAUACAGCUUUUGAGGAAUGAAGAUUGGACUUUAUGGAAUAAAACCACGUGGAAAUAUUGGCCUGGUACCUUAUGUUCCAAGCAGCACUUACCAGGAUAAGUAAAGAAUGUCACUUAUCUGGCAGGUACAAGGAACCUCGAAAUAUUUUGGAAGAACCUCGGAAGAGAGGAAUUCACCCAAAUCUGUAGGUAUUACAGGCAAACUCUGAUGACAAAAUCCUUGGCUUGGCUUUCCUGGCCUGGAGAGGCCUUUAAAGUUCAAUCUGAGAUUCCUUAUAAAAAGUUCCAGCAAAGCAGAUUUAAAAGAGCCUAUGUGAUCAACUGCUAUUCUUGCUGUACUUAUGUAAAUAAUUGGGCCAACUUUAUUGGAACUAGACUUAUUUUGCAAACUAGUUUUAAUUUUGCUAUC